UGCGAGUCACGUAUAGUAGCAAUACUAUACGUGGCAUACGGCUCAGUAACACGUAGUCAACAUGCCCAGGGGACGUGGAUAACCUCGGGAAACUGAGGAUAAACCGCGAUAGGUCAUAAUGUCUGGAAUGAUUUAUGGCUCAAAUCUAUAUGGCCCCUGGAUUGGACUGCGGCCGAUCAGGCUGUUGGUGAGGUAAUGGCCCACCAAACCUAAAACCGGUACGGGCUCUGAGAGGAGAAGCCCGGAGAUGGGCACUGAGACAAGGGCCCAGGCCCUAUGGGGCGCAGCAGGCGCGAAAACUCUGCAAUAGGCGAAAGCUUGACAGGGUUAUUCUGAGUGAUCUCCGUUAAGGAAAUCUUUUGGCACCUCUAAAAAUGGUGCAGAAUAAGGGGUGGGCAAGCCUGGUGUCAGCCGCCGCGGUAAUACCAGCACCCCGAGUGGUCGGGACGAUUAUUGGGCCUAAAGCAUCCGUAGCCGGUUCUACAAGUCUUCCGUUAAAUCCACCUGCUUAACAGAUGGGCUGCAGAGGAUACUAUAGAGCUAGGAGGCGGGAGAGGCAAGCGGUACUUAGUGGGUAGGGGUAAAAUCCGUUGAUCCACUGAAGACCACCAGUGGCGAAGGCGGCUUGCCAGAACGCGCUCGGCGGUGAGGGAUGAAAGCUGGGGGAGCAAACCGGAUUAGAUACCCGGGUAGUCCCAGCUGUAAACGAUGCAGACUCGGUGAUGAAUAGGCUUAGUGCCUAUUCAGUGCCGCAGGGAAGCCGUUAAGUCUGCCGCCUGGGGAGUACGGUCGCAAGACUGAAACUUAA
rnacentral:rRNA from 1 species